UUUAAGUUUACUGUUGGAAUCUGAAGCCCGGAAGCUUAAUAUUAUUACGGAUCCAAUUCAGAGAGGUUUGCAGCAGCUUGGAAUUAAACAAGAUUCUGAGUAUAAUAUUCACCUUCCACCACCAGUUGGAACAGGUCAACCUGUUGAAGUACAGAUAUCAAUAUCAUUACGGAAUAUACUAGAUAUUGAUGAAGUAAGGCAGUUGAUAACUGUCGAAACAACUCUACGAUUGUACUGGAAAGAUAGCAGGCUUAAAGUGGAACAUCUCCUUCAGGACAUCAUUUUUGAAUUUUUACAAAUUGUAAUUUGUUUUAACUAAUUCGUUAAAGCAACGGAAUCAAUUAUUUUGGCAUUCAGUUAUAGAUUGGGUUUCUCGAAAUAAGAAAAAUGUAAUUUAGGAUUUUAUAAACAAGAACAAAAAACAUUCUAAUAUCCAUUUAAAUAUAAACAAAGAAGAAAUCUUUUUAGGUCCGAUUGCAAUCACUGCAAAAAUCGAUGAGAAUUUUGCCAAUUACCUUUUAAAAAACAAAGCUAACAACAAGUGCUUUACGGUGCUAAAAUGUAAAUUUAAAGGACUACAGAAAAAGUAAAAGUAAGUUAGAGCGGUAAAUCUAACCCCAAGGCGUUGCGAGGCUUCAAAUUCGACCUUCUCUUUAAAAUAGAUAAGACUAUUUAUAGGCCAACUGAAUCAAUUUGAAUUACUAACUAGCUCGGACACCUUUGGCUGUAAUGCUUCAGAUUUGUAUUGGAAUACGCUUAUAAUCCAUGCAAAGCUGGGUUCUAAAGCCAAUCAUAAAAAUUGUCAUAUACCUAAUUUCUAUAAUUCAGGUGUUUGUUGUCCGGGUUGUUCAUUGCUUUUAUUACCGAAAUAAAUAAUUAUCGAUUUUUUAUUUUUCUACUUUGGUAUCGAAAAGAUUGGUUCGUCUUUCAGAAAAUUGAAAAUGACCCUAUGAUUAUUGUAAACAAAAUAAAUGGAAAAUGGUUUAUUUAAGGUUCAGGAGAAUGGAAUAUUUGGAAGAAUUGUAUUUCUAAUGUAUUAUAUGAUUAUAUUA